ACAUCCAGAAACGGGGGGAAUUGGUGUGCUGGAUAAGGAUCCAGCACACCAAUUCCCCCCGUUUCUGGAUGU